GUGAGGAAUAUUGGUCAAUGGGCGAGAGCCUGAACCAGCCAAGUCGCGUGAAGGAAGAAGGAUCUAUGGUUCGUAAACUUCUUUUGCAGGGGAAUAAAGUGCGGGACGUGUCCUGUUUUGUAUGUACCCUGAGAAUAAGGAUCGGCUAACUCCGUGCCAGCAGCCGCGGUAAUACGGAGGAUCCGAGCGUUAUCCGGAUUUAUUGGGUUUAAAGGGUGCGUAGGUGGUUUGAUAAGUCAGCGGUGAAAGUUUGCAGCUUAACUGUAAAAAUGCCGUUGAAACUGUCGGACUUGAGUGUAAAUGAGGUAGGCGGAAUGCGUGGUGUAGCGGUGAAAUGCAUAGAUAUCACGCAGAACUCCGAUUGCGAAGGCAGCUUACUAAGCUACAACUGACACUGAAGCACGAAAGCGUGGGGAUCAAACAGGAUUAGAAACCCCUGUAGCC
rnacentral:rRNA from 1 species